rnacentral:rRNA from 1 species
UGGUGGACCGAUUUGUCUGGUUGAUUCCGUUAACGAACGAGACCCCCGCCUACCGAUUUUGUCCGCUCUCGAGGCGAUCGUGUCCGAGCGUGCAGACUCGCCUUCGUUGUCGUUCGACGACCGCGAACGCGAGAUUCUCUUCGCCGUGGGCGACGGGCGUUAACGACUGUUUCCGCUCGCGCCGACGACGAUGGACGUACGGAUGGGACUCGCGGCGACCAGCCGCGGGAAGCAGGGGGCGGAUAACAGG